GGUNCUAGNGUUAUUCGGAAUUACUGGGCGUAAAGGGCGUGCAGGCCGNUUGGCAAGNCUGAUGUGAAAGCCCCNGGCUUAACCUGGGAAGUGCAUUGGAAACUGCCGGACUUGAGUACUGGAGAGGAAGGGGGAAUUCCCGGUGUAGAGGUGAAAUUCGUAGAGAUCGGGNGGUAAUACCNAGUGGCGAAGCCGCCCUUCUGGACGGUUACUGACGCUNAGANCNAAACCCNGGGGGGCAACCAGGAUUAGAUACCCUGGUNGUCCGCGCUGU
rnacentral:rRNA from 1 species